UUCCUUCUCCCUUCGGGUCUUUAGUCCAAGGUCUCCUAUCUUGAGAAGGACCUUGACUUGCUGACCGGAUGAAGAUGACGGAGCUUGUGUAGGCAUUGGGUCGACGCUCAUCUCUGACGGGUGUGAGGAGUGUCGGGAUGAACUCCUUGUACCAAUGUUCUUGAGAGCCUUCCCUGCGUUCUUCACCUUCUUAAACAUCCUGUAAACAAAACUUGGCAAAAACACAACUAGUGGAAAAUGUGAGAGAAAAUGUUAGCGGUCAGCUGUCCGGAAUGUUAGUAGUCCAGGGGUUAGUCGUUCAAGACAAGUUUCUAUUUUGGCAGAACCUCCCCCUAAACAACUUUUACUUCCGCUUGGACUGCAGGAUCACUACUUACUAGGUGAAACUCACUCUCUCACAAAAACUACCAACUUCUUUCCCAC
rnacentral:lncRNA from 1 species